AAAAUUAUAAAGCAGAAGAAAGGUAAAACAGAGAAAAGGAGAAACUGGGGUCCUAAUGGUCUGGAUAAUCCCAUUAACUGUCCAGGAGCUCGAGCCUGGCCCAUCAGAAGGAAACCUCAGGACUGCAGCACUCAGAUCUUCUCUCUGUUCAGAGGCCAUGUGAAUACCACACCUGAUGGGCCAGGUCAUCCUUCCCCCCUCUGCAAUGAAGUGUUCUGAGAUCCAUUGGUGAAAACCAG
rnacentral:lncRNA from 1 species